UUUAAGUUUUUUAUAUCCCAUUGUUUACUUACCCUGUUGCUUUCACUGGACAGAUUUCACCUUGUGUGGGUCCUUUGGCUUGUGUGAAAUACCACUUGCCAAAGAGUUGCCAGUGGUAAGACCUAUUUAUCAAAACUUGAGUUUCAAUAAACACAACUGUCUGAAUAUUUUUUUUCUUUAAUGAAAUAAAACUUUCAACAACGGAUCUCUAGGCUCUUGCAUCGAUGAAGAACGCAGUGAAAUGCGAUAAGUAAUGUGAAUUGCAGAAUCUCGUGAAUCAUUGAAUCUUUGAACGCACAUUGCGCCCUAUGGUAUUCCAUUGGGCAUGCCUGUCUGAGCGUCAGCUCCCCCUCCACUCAAGAAUUAUUUUAUAUGAUACUUGGAUUACUUUGGAGAUGUAACUGUAUAUUAAGUUGCCCUCCAGAAAUUCAUUGGCAGUAUGGUUUGUACUUGGACCAGACGUAAUAGUAAUAAAAUCGUUUGUUUGGGUAUAAUUGAAUUGUACUUGCCUUAACCCCCACCCAUUUUUAUUUUGGGUGACCUCAGAUC
rnacentral:misc_RNA from 1 species